rnacentral:rRNA from 1 species
GACGAACGCUGGCGGCGUGCUUAACACAUGCAAGUCGAGCGAGAGCCUGGGGGCUUGCCCCCAGGGGACAGCGGCGAACGGGUGCGUAACACGUGGGCAACCUGCCCCUCUCUCUGGGAUAACCCCGGGAAACCGGAGCUAAUACCGGAUACUCCGAUCGGAUCACAUGGCUCGAUCGGGGAAAGGUCCGCCGGAGAGGGAUGGGCCCGCGGCCUAUCAGCUUGUUGGUGAGGUAACGGCUCACCAAGGCGACGACGGGUAGCUGGUCUGAGAGGACGACCAGCCACACUGGAACUGAGAUACGGUCCAGACUCCUACGGGAGGCAGCAGUGGGGAAUAUUGCGCAAUGGGCGAAAGCCUGACGCAGCGACGCCGCGUGGGGAUGAAUGCC